rnacentral:rRNA from 1 species
AACACAUGCAAGUCGAGGGGAAACGAUAUCGGAAGCUUGCUUCCGAUAGGCGUCGACCGGCGCACGGGUGAGUAACGCGUAUCCAACCUGCCCACCACUUGGGGAUAACCUUGCGAAAGUAAGACUAAUACCCAAUGAUAUCUCUAGAAGACAUCUGAAAGGGAUUAAAGAUUUAUCGGUGAUGGAUGGGGAUGCGUCUGAUUAGCUUGUUGGCGGGGUAACGGCCCACCAAGGCGACGAUCAGUAGGGGUUCUGAGAGGAAGGUCCCCCACAUUGGAACUGAGACACGGUCCAAACUCCUACGGGAGGCAGCAGUGAGGAAUAUUGGUCAAUGGGCGAGAGCCUGAACCAGCCAAGUAGCGUGCAGGAUGACGGCCCUAUGGGUUGUAAACUGCUUUUAUAAGGGAAUAAAGUGAGUCUCGUGAGACUUUUUGCAUGUACCUUAUGAAUAAGGACCGGCUAAUUCCGUGCCAGCAGCCGCGGUAAUACGGAAGGUCCGGGCGUUAUCCGGAUUUAUUGGGUUUAAAGGGAGCGUAGGCCGGAGAUUAAGCGUGUUGUGAAAUGUAGACGCUCAACGUCUGCACUGCAGCGCGAACUGGUUUCCUUGAGUACGCACAAAGUGGGCGGAAUUCGUGGUGUAGCGGUGAAAUGCUUAGAUAU